ACGAACGCUGGCGGCGUGCUUAACACAUGCAAGUCGAACGGAAAGGCCCCGCCUUUGUGGGGUGCCCGAGUGGCGAACGGGGGAGUAACAAGUGGGUAACCUGCCCUUGACUUUGGGAUAACUUUAGGAAACUGGGGCUAAUACCGGAUAGGAGCCCCUGCUGCAUGGUGGGGGUUGGAAAGUUUCGGCGGUUGGGGAUGGACUCGCGGCUUAUCAGCUUGUUGGUGGGGUAGUGGCUUACCAAGGCUUUGACGGGUAGCCGGCCUGAGAGGGUGACCGGCCACAUUGGGACUGAGAUACGGCCCAGACUCCUACGGGAGGCAGCAGUGGGGAAUAUUGCACAAUGGGCGGAAGCCUGAUGCAGCAACGCCGCGUGCGGGAUGACGGCCUUCGGGUUGUAAACCGCUUUCGCCUGUGACGAAGCGUGAGUGACGGUAAUGGGUAAAGAAGCACCGGCUAACUACGUG
rnacentral:rRNA from 1 species